GGGAUUGCCCUAGUAACGGCGAGUGAAGCGGCAACAGCUCAAAUUUGAAAUCUGGCUCACGCCCGAGUUGUAAUUUGUAGAGGAUGCUUUUGGUGAGGUGCCUUCUGAGUUCCCUGGAACGGGACGCCAGAGAGGGUGAGAGCCCCGUAUAGUUGGACACCAAGCCUCUGUAAAGCUCCUUCGACGAGUCGAGUAGUUUGGGAAUGCUGCUCAAAAUGGGAGGUAAAUUUCUUCUAAAGCUAAAUACCGGCCAGAGACCGAUAGCGCACAAGUAGAGUGAUCGAAAGAUGAAAAGCACUUUGAAAAGAGGGUUAAACAGCACGUGAAAUUGUUGAAAGGGAAGCGCUUGUGACCAGACUUGCGCCAGGCGAAUCAUCCAGCGUUCUCGCUGGUGCACUUCGCCUGGUCCAGGCCAGCAUCGGUUUUCCCAGGGGGAUAAAGGCGCCGGGAACGUGGCUCUCUCCGGGGAGUGUUAUAGCCCGGCGUACAAUAUCCUUGGGGGGACCGAGGUUCGCGCUCUGCAAGGAUGCUGGCAUAAUGGUCAUCAGCGACCCGUCUUGAAACACGGACCAAGGAGUCAAGCAUUAGGGCGAGUGUUUGGGUGUUAAACCCGCACGCGAAAUGAAAGUGAACGCAGGUGAGAGCUUCGGCGCAUCAUCGACCGAUCCUGAUGUAUUCGGAUGGAUUUGAGUAAGAGCCUUACCGCUUGGACCCGAAAGAUGGUGAACUAUGCUUGUAUAGGGUGAAGCCAGAGGAAACUCUGGUGGAGGCUCGCAGCGGUUCUGACGUGCAAAUCGAUCGUCAAAUAUGAGCAUGGGGGCGAAAGACU
rnacentral:rRNA from 1 species